GUAUGCAGAUUAAAAGUGUUAAAAGUCCACAAAAGGAAACAUUGGCAGGCACUGUGCAAUCUUAGAUGCAGAUGGCUAGGAGUGAGUGUCACUUCACUGGUUUACAAACAUGAUACUGCACAUCCAUGGUGA
rnacentral:lncRNA from 1 species